rnacentral:rRNA from 1 species
ACGCUGGCGGCAGGCCUAACACAUGCAAGUCGAGCGGUAGAGAGAAGCUUGCUUCUCUUGAGAGCGGCGGACGGGUGAGUAAUGCCUAGGAAUCUGCCUGGUAGUGGGGGAUAACGUUCGGAAACGGACGCUAAUACCGCAUACGUCCUACGGGAGAAAGCAGGGGACCUUCGGGCCUUGCGCUAUCAGAUGAGCCUAGGUCGGAUUAGCUAGUUGGUGAGGUAAUGGCUCACCAAGGCGACGAUCCGUAACUGGUCUGAGAGGAUGAUCAGUCACACUGGAACUGAGACACGGUCCAGACUCCUACGGGAGGCAGCAGUGGGGAAUAUUGGACAAUGGGCGAAAGCCUGAUCCAGCCAUGCCGCGUGUGUGAAGAAGGUCUUCGGAUUGUAAAGCACUUUAAGUUGGGAGGAAGGGCAGUUACCUAAUACGUGAUUGUUUUGACGUUACCGACAGAAUAAGCACCGGCUAACUCUGUGCCAGCAGCCGCGGUAAUACAGAGGGUGCAAGCGUUAAUCGGAAUUACUGGGCGUAAAGCGCGCGUAGGUGGUUUGUUAAGUUGGAUGUGAAAUCCCCGGGCUCAACCUGGGAACUGCAUUCAAAACUGACUGACUAGAGUAUGGUAGAGGGUGGUGGAAUUUCCUGUGUAGCGGUGAAAUGCGUAGAUAUAGGAAGGAACACCAGUGGCGAAGGCGACCACCUGGACUGAUACUGACACUGAGGUGCGAAAGCGUGGGGAGCAAAC